AAAGUCGUAACAAGGUUUCCGUAGGUGAACCUGCGGAAGGAUCAUUAUUGAAUUCCAACUGGGUGAGAUUGUUGCUGGCUCUCGGGCAUGUGCACAUCUCAUUCAUUUACCUCUCACCUCGUGCAUUUUCACAGGACAGCUGGUGGUUGUAGGCUUCAUUGUCAUGGCACAGGUUGCCUUGUGUGCUUUAAACUCUAAUCAAGUUCAGAAUGUCUAUUGGUGUAUCCACACAUUUUAAAUACAA
rnacentral:misc_RNA from 1 species